rnacentral:rRNA from 1 species
AGCGAACGCUGGCGGCAGGCUUAACACAUGCAAGUCGAGCGCCGUAGCAAUACGGAGCGGCAGACGGGUGAGUAACGCGUGGGAACGUACCUUUGGUUCGGAACAACACAGGGAAACUUGUGCUAAUACCGAAUAAGCCCUUACGGGGAAAGAUUUAUCGCCGAAAGAUCGGCCCGCGUCUGAUUAGCUUGUUGGUGAGGUAACGGCUCACCAAGGCGACGAUCAGUAGCUGGUCUGAGAGGAUGAUCAGCCACAUUGGGACUGAGACACGGCCCAAACUCCUACGGGAGGCAGCAGUGGGGAAUAUUGGACAAUGGGCGCAAGCCUGAUCCAGCCAAGCCGCGUGAGUGAUGAAGGCCCUAGGGUUGUAAAGCUCUUUUGUGCGGGAAGAUAAUGACGGUACCGCAAGAAUAAGCCCCGGCUAACUUCGUGCCAGCAGCCGCGGUAAU